GACGAACGCUGGCGGCGUGCUUAACACAUGCAAGUCGAACGGUAAGGCUCCAGCUUGCUGGGGUACACGAGUGGCGAACGGGUGAGUAACACGUGGGUGACCUGCCCUGCACUUCGGGAUAAGCCUGGGAAACUGGGUCUAAUACCGGAUAGGACCGCACCGUGAGGGUGUGGUGGAAAGUUUUUUCGGUGUGGGAUGGGCCCGCGGCCUAUCAGCUUGUUGGUGGGGUAAUGGCCUACCAAGGCGGCGACGGGUAGCCGGCCUGAGAGGGUGGACGGCCACAUUGGGACUGAGACACGGCCCAGACUCCUACGGGAGGCAGCAGUGGGGAAUAUUGCACAAUGGGCGGAAGCCUGAUGCAGCGACGCCGCGUGGGGGAUGACGGCCUUCGGGUUGUAAACUCCUUUCACCAUCGACGAAGGGUUUCUGACGGUAGAUGGAGAAGAAGCACCGGCUAACUACGUGCCAGCAGCCGCGGUAAUACGUAGGGUGCGAGCGUUGUCCGGAAUUACUGGGCGUAAAGAGCUCGUAGGUGGUUUGUCGCGUCGUCUGUGAAAUUCCGGGGCUUAACUCCGGGCGUGCAGGCGAUACGGGCAUAACUUGAGUGCUGUAGGGGAGACUGGAAUUCCUGGUGUAGCGGUGAAAUGCGCAGAUAUCAGGAGGAACACCGGUGGCGAAGGCGGGUCUCUGGGCAGUAACUGACGCUGAGGAGCGAAAGCAUGGGGAGCGAACAGG
rnacentral:rRNA from 1 species